UUGCGUCCAUAUCAGAUUGAAACACCGGUUCUCGUGUAAUCACCGAAAUUAAGUAUCGUCAAACCUUAUCAGUACCUACAUGGGUGAUUGCUUGGGAAUAUCAGGUGCUGUGA